rnacentral:lncRNA from 1 species
UACACUCGACUUUUUGAAGAGGAGUGGCAAGGAACACCUGGAGGCUGAUGAAGACAAUAAUAGUUAAAAGAACAGAAAACGUGAAUGGAUAUGGAGGUCGUUUUUAGGUGACUGGAGGUGCCACUGACAGUGAGUGGAUAGAGGAAGCCGAGUAUGCUUGAAUUUCUAUGGGAAGACAUGGAUCCGUGAGGCUACAUUUGGAAGCUAAACCUCACUGAUAGAGCAGAGAUUUCUGAACCAUGAGGAAAUGGAGGAGGAACAUGUGACAGAGCUUCAGAAAUAGAAACUAUGCCAAUGUCAACAAUUUCUAAGGACAUUUAGAGAAGACGGGUUGAAGAAAGAAGUUGCAUGCUGGAGACCAAUUAACAGGUAAAACA